GGUUCUGUGGUCUAAUGGUUAUGACGUCUGCUUCACAUCUUGUAUGUUACUUGCGUUAUCUUGUGUACGCUGAAGGUUCCCGGUUCGAUCCCGGGCAGAAUCA
rfam:Daedalea quercina L-15889 unplaced genomic scaffold DAEQTscaffold_45, whole genome shotgun sequence.